CCCUCUUCGGAGGCGCCUGUAGAGGUGCUGCAUGGCUGUCGUCAGCUCGUGUCGUGAGAUGUUGGGUUAAGUCCCGCAACGAGCGCAACCCUUGCUCAUAGUUGCCAGCGGUUCGGCCGGGCACUCUAUGGGGACUGCCGGUGAUAAACCGGAGGAAGGUGGGGAUGACGUCAAGUCCUCAUGGCCUUUAUGUCCAGGGCUACACACGUGCUACAAUGGACGGUACAAAGAGUUGCGAUCCCGCGAGGGGGAGCUAAUCUCAAAAAACCGUUCUCAGUUCGGAUUGCAGUCUGCAACUCGACUGCAUGAAGCUGGAAUCACUAGUAAUCGCGGAUCAGCACGCCGCGGUGAAUACGUUCCCGGGCCUUGUACACACCGCCCGUCACAUCACGAAAGUCGGUUGCACUAGAAGUCGGUGGGCUAACCCGCAAGGGGGGCAGCCGCCUAAAGUGUGAUCGGUAAUUGGGGUGAAGUCGUAACAAGGUAGCUGUAGGAGAACC
rnacentral:rRNA from 1 species